CCUACGGGUGGCAGCAGUGAGGAAUAUUGGUCAAUGGACGAGAGUCUGAACCAGCCAAGUAGCGUGAAGGAUGACUGCCCUAUGGGUUGUAAACUUCUUUUAUAUGGGAAUAACAUGUUCCACGUGUGGGGUUUUGUAUGUACCAUAUGAAUAAGGAUCGGCUAACUCCGUGCCAGCAGCCGCGGUAAUACGGAGGAUCCGAGCGUUAUCCGGAUUUAUUGGGUUUAAAGGGAGCGUAGGCGGAUUGUUAAGUCAGUUGUGAAAGUUUGCGGCUCAACCGUAAAAUUGCAGUUGAAACUGGCAGUCUUGAGUACAGUAGAGGUAGGCGGAAUUCGUGGUGUAGCGGUGAAAUGCUUAGAUAUCACGAAGAACUCCGAUUGCGAAGGCAGCUCGCUGGACUGCAACUGACACUGAGGCUCGAAAGUGUGGGUAUCAAACAGGAUUAGAUACCCUAGUAGUC
rnacentral:rRNA from 1 species